rnacentral:rRNA from 1 species
GACGAACGCUGGCGGCGUGCUUAACACAUGCAAGUCGAACGGAAAGGCCCUGCUUUUGCGGGGUGCUCGAGUGGCGAACGCGUGAGUAACACGUGUGUAACCUGUCCUUGACUUUGGGAUAACUUCAGGAAACUGGGGCUAAUACCGCAUAGGAGCUCCUGCUGCACGGUGGGGGUUGGAAAGUUUCGGCGGUUGGGGCUGGACUCGCGGCUUAUCAGCUUGUUGGUGUGGUAGUGGCUUACCAAGGCUUUGACGGGUAGCCGGCCUGAGAGGGUGAACGGCCACAAUGGGACUAAGAUACGGCCCAGACUCCUACGGGAGGCAGCAGGGGAGAAUAUUGCACAAUGGGGGGAAGCCUGAUGCAGAGACGCCGCGUGCGGGAUGACGGCCUUCGGGUUGUAAACCGCUUUCGCCUGUGACGAAGCGUGAGUGACGGUAAUGGGUAAAGAAGCACCGGCUAACUACGUG